UCUCCGUUGGUGAACCAGCGGAGGGAUCAUUACCGAGUUUUCUACUCCCAAACCCCUGUGGACUUAUACCUUUACCGUUGCUUCGGCGGGUUAACGCCCCGGAAAGGCCCCCGAAAGGGAGCCGCCCCGGAACCAGGCGCCCGCCGGGGGACCCAAACUCUUGUAUUUUCUUACCUAGCAUGUCUGAGUGGAAUCAUAAACAAAUGAAUCAAAACUUUCAACAACGGAUCUCUUGGUUCUG
rnacentral:misc_RNA from 1 species